rnacentral:rRNA from 1 species
UACAGAGGGUGCGAGCGUUAAUCGGAUUUACUGGGCGUAAAGCGUGCGUAGGCGGCCAAUUAAGUCAAAUGUGAAAUCCCCGAGCUUAACUUGGGAAUUGCAUUCGAUACUGGUUGGCUAGAGUAUGGGAGAGGAUGGUAGAAUUCCAGGUGUAGCGGUGAAAUGCGUAGAGAUCUGGAGGAAUACCGAUGGCGAAGGCAGCCAUCUGGCCUAAUACUGACGCUGAGGUACGAAAGCAUGGGGAGCAAACAGG